GAAGAAAUAAAUAUUAGUUAAAACGAUUAAAAAUGAUAGCUGAAAGUACAAAUGUAGCUUUAUUCUUUUAUAGCAGCGGUAUUUGUUAAAGGGACUGAUCGAUAAGACGCGCGUGUUCAACAUCAUGCAAGCAUGUGGAAUGGUUAAGUGGUUAAAUGCUUGAUAAGUGAAAUGACAGCUUUAUUGCCUUUACGCCUACGCAGGUCAAUUCAGUUAAAAUUAAAAAUGAUGCACCGUCUAGUAUUUCUCGCACUUAUAUCAUCAGAAAAAACGCCAAAGGUAAUUACAUUUCAGUGUUGAAAUUUUUGUAUAUGCAACAGUUUCAUCAAAGGAGCGAAGUGAUGUAAUUUAGUAUUGUGAUUUGUCAAGUAUUUUGAAAAUUUUUACUUUUCAAUGGUAUACAGUCUUGCUAAGCCGUUGAGAGUGAAAACAAAAUCUACAUGUAACAGCUUACAAUUCGUAUCUUUUCCCAGUUUUGAAAUGGCAAAGUAAAGCUAUAAAUCUGUUAUGCCGGCAUGUUAAAACAGUAAAGUAUAAACAUAAACGUUAUUAAUAGAGGUUUUAAGUUUUUGUGAUAACCAUCCAAAGAAAUCAGUUAUGCCGGCAUGUUAAAACAGUAAAGUAUAAACAUAAACGUUAGUUAAUAGAGGUUUUAAGUUUUUCUGAUAACCAUCCAAAGAAAUCAAAAAAUGUACAUGCGGUAUGGGCUUUGCACAUUGUUGAAGGCCGUACGAUGACCUAUAGUUGUUAAUUUCUGUGUCAUUUGCAAUCAUAC
rnacentral:lncRNA from 1 species